rnacentral:lncRNA from 1 species
AGACUUGUGUAAGUUUAUGUGUUCAAUCUUAUGUUAUGGAACCCAAACUUAUGUUAUGCUAAGCACUCAUAUGUUUAUCAAUUGGUACCAAUUGGUACUCUAUGUUUAGACUUUCAUCAUCAACCAUUAUUCUAAUAAACUAAUUUCCUAGACAUUAUCAAUAGGUACUCUCUUAAACUAAUUUCCUAGACUUUAUCAAUUGGUACUCUC